GAUGAACGCUGGCGGCGUGCCUAAUACAUGCAAGUCGAGCGAACAGACGAGGAGCUUGCUUCUCUGACGUUAGCGGCGGACGGGUGAGUAACACGUGGAUAACCUACCUAUAAGACUGGGAUAACUUCGGGAAACCGGAGCUAAUACCGGAUAAUAUAUUGAACCGCAUGGUUCAAUAGUGAAAGACGGUUUUGCUGUCACUUAUAGAUGGAUCCGCGCCGCAUUAGCUAGUUGGUAAGGUAACGGCUUACCAAGGCAACGAUGCGUAGCCGACCUGAGAGGGUGAUCGGCCACACUGGAACUGAGACACGGUCCAGACUCCUACGGGAGGCAGCAGUAGGGAAUCUUCCGCAAUGGGCGAAAGCCUGACGGAGCAACGCCGUGUGAGUGAUGAAGGUCCUCGGAUCGUAAAACUCUGUUAUUAGGGAAGAACAGAUGUGUAAGUAACUAUGCACGUCUUGACGGUACCUAAUCAGAAAGCCACGGCUAACUACGUG
rnacentral:rRNA from 1 species